UUAAGUGUCACUGCAGUACAGCGUUUUAUACGUACAAAUAUAACGCAAAUUGUGCGUAUGACAGAAUUAGGUGGCGGCGGGAGCUUGUCCCCUUUCUCUUAUUGUUAAUUAUUGUUAAUUCACAUGGAUAAUAUCCCCCAUUUCUGCUUAGACCGAUCCCGCGUUUGGUAUGAAGGUGAUUAUUUCCUGCUGUGUGUAAAUAAAAGUGAAAGUAUUUUAAAGCUGGAAUCUCCAUUUUGUCAAGAAACACGCAUAAGAUUCUGGAAUAAUAAAGACAUUUUGUACUGCAAGUGUCCUGAUGGAGAGAGCAGUACCUGUACCCAGCUGUGUUUCCAUGAAGAGUGACCAGUCAAUGGAAUUACCAAUCAGCUUCAGAGAGAAACCUUUUCCAUCAGAUCAGAGAGGCUCCAGCAGAAGUCAUCUGGUCUGGGUCAGUACAAGAAUGGAGGGAGAUGCUU